UUAAAGUGGGAAACUUAACAUCUUGUUUGUUGGUUGCUAAACAACUUUAGGGUACACUGUGAUGUAUAACACGUUCUCUCCUCCCAGGUUUCCCCUCUGGGCAAGCCAGCUCUGCAGCAGAUGAGGAGGUCUCCCUUUUUCUUAGCUGAAAAGGACACUCCAUAUACCAGUACGCAGCAGUGCGGGAGAGGACACACAUCGUGUCCGAUGUGGUUUCCAGGCAGAGCGGCUAUGGAGACAGACGUGUUGAGAGGUGCAUACAGAUUUCUGCUCCCUAAUUGAGCAGAGAUGAAUUAUCCAGCCCUGACUACCAGCACGGAUGAUGAAACAAUGCAUUUUUAGACUCUUCUCCGGGUACAAGGCUGGUGAAGGAAAUGAGAGGAUAAAGGUUGGAGCUAUGCAGAUGGUCUUGGGACACUGGCCUGAGGAGGGCCUGAGUAGAGAUGGAGUCUUAGAUGAUGUUGGUUAGGCUAUAGGAAUCUAUGAGAUUGCUCUAGUAGAGGUGAGGGGAGACUUGAAACAGAAAUCAGACCCUGCCAGGAGCUGGGAUGUGAGAGAUAAUGAAGGCAAGAACAAUGAAGGAGGCAGCAGAAAUUGGCAGGACGUAAUGGUGGUGGGAAUAAAAGAGAAACUUAAGUGCUGAGUUACUAAAGAAAAGAAGCUGUUUGCGGCUGCUGUUAAGAGCUCCAUUGCUCCAGGAGGAAGAUUGGUCUAAUCUAGUUUAGCUUUUCUUCUGUACUUUUCCUUGAAUGCUGUGAAUGGAGUUCAGGCGAUUCACAGGGGUAUCGCCCUGGAAAACCAGUUGGCUGCCAAGACACCGCACAGAGUGACAUUCACUGCCGGUGACUCGAACAGAGAAGGAUCUGGCAUUAGUCCCGUUGGCAGGAUGAGGCUUUUUAUCCCUCUCUCUUUCCUUUCCCUGGGGCAUGGCACACACCCAAGUCCACUCUCGGAUCAGGCACGCAGUAAGUAAGGACUAGAAAGGGGUCUUUUGUCAAACCAGACCUUCAUCCACCAGCAGGGACUGGAAACUCUUGGAAAUUCUUCUAUUCCAGGCUAGGAAAGAAAUAAAGAAAAGCAGAUGGAAUGGAGUGAUUGACAACCUAGACCGGAAACUAAGGAGGAGAAGGGCUGAGAUCAGAGAUCUAGGCACAGAGCAAUUUAAAAUACUAAGAGGUGGAAGGGAACAAAAAACCCCUUCCGUACAAGGGAGGGGCUCCCAGGACCCUGGGAAAGAGGUGACAGUGUGGGUGGCCUUGGGAGUUAAGAACAAAGGGCAGGCGGGGGUGGAGCCCUGGGAAGCAGAGCUGCGGUUAGGACUAGAGCAGAUGGUUUGAGCAGGAAGUCGCUGUUCUGAACGUUCUUCUGGACCUGUCAUUGCAUGAGAUUGAUCAGCUCGGCUCUGUCUGCAUCCAGAGAGAAACUCUGCCUUUCCGCGGAGGCACACGGUAGCCAAAGCCACCGAAAUGAGAGGAUGAGCCAAGUUACGGAUCGCAUCUCAUAAUGAGAAACGCAGGGGUCCACUGCAGAGUUCAGAGUCACCACCUUGCUGGCCAGCCAGGAGAGAAGUCAAAUGAUGGCCCAAGGGUGCAGAUGAGCCCACAACCGGAACACAGGCCACUGAAACUACCUGCAUCCACAUUCACUGGGGGAAUCUGAAGUGUCCAUAUACCAUCAAGGUGCUAUCCAGGCUUGCCAGAAUCAAUGUCUUAAGAGAUUUCCUGGAAUCGGCAGUUUUUAAGAAGUCUGCACGGAAUUUAUGGACCCUAAAUACAGUUGCAUGAUAAUCACUCAGUUUCUUUGCAGUC
rnacentral:lncRNA from 1 species